rnacentral:rRNA from 1 species
AUUGAACGCUGGCGGCAGGCUUAACACAUGCAAGUCGAACGAGUGGCGGACGGGUGAGUAAUGCUUGGGAAUCUAGCUUAUGGAGGGGGAUAACUACGGGAAACGGUAGCUAAUACCGCAUACCAUCGGAUGUGCCCAGAUGGGCUUAGCUAGUAGGUGGGGUAACGGCUCACCUAGGCGACGAUCCCUAGCUGGGCUGAGAGGAUGACCAGCCAACCUGUAACGUAGACACGGUCCAGACUCCUACGGGAGGCAGCAGUGGGGAAUAUUGCGCAAUGGGGGCAACCCUGACGCAGCCAUGCCGCGUGAAUGAAGAAGGCCUUCGGGUUGUAAAGUUCUUUCGGUAGCGAGGCGUUAACUACAGAAGAAGCACCGGCUAACUCCGUGCCAGCCGCCGCGGUAAUAC